UGCAGUCGAGCGACUGAUUAGAAGCUUGCUUCUAUGACGUUAGCGGCGGACGGGUGAGUAACACGUGGGCAACCUGCCUGUAAGACUGGGAUAACUCCGGGAAACCGGAGCUAAUACCGGAUAACAUUUUCUCUUGCAUAAGAGAAAAUUGAAAGAUGGUUUCGGCUAUCACUUACAGAUGGGCCCGCGGUGCAUUAGCUAGUUGGUGAGGUAACGGCUCACCAAGGCAACGAUGCAUAGCCGACCUGAGAGGGUGAUCGGCCACACUGGGACUGAGACACGGCCCAGACUCCUACGGGAGGCAGCAGUAGGGAAUCUUCCGCAAUGGACGAAAGUCUGACGGAGCAACGCCGCGUGAGUGAUGAAGGCUUUCGGGUCGUAAAACUCUGUUGUUAGGGAAGAACAAGUACAAGAGUAACUGCUUGUACCUUGACGGUACCUAACCAGAAAGCCACGGCUAACUACGUGCCAGCAGCCGCGGUAAUACGUAGGUGGCAAGCGUUAUCCGGAAUUAUUGGGCGUAAAGCGCGCGCAGGCGGUUUCUUAAGUCUGAUGUGAAAGCCCACGGCUCAACCGUGGAGGGUCAUUGGAAACUGGGGAACUUGAGUGCAGAAGAGAAAAGCGGAAUUCCACGUGUAGCGGUGAAAUGCGUAGAGAUGUGGAGGAACACCAGUGGCGAAGGCGGCUUUUUGGUCUGUAACUGACGCUGAGGCGCGAAAGCGUGGGGGAGCAAACAGGAUUAGAUACCC
rnacentral:rRNA from 2 species